GUGGGGAAUAUUGGGCAAUGGGGGAAACCCUGACCCAGCAACGCCGCGUGAAGGAAGAAGGCCUUCGGGUUGUAAACUUCUUUUACCAGGGACGAAGGACGUGACGGUACCUGGAGAAAAAGCAACGGCUAACUACGUGCCAGCAGCCGCGGUAAUACGUAGGUUGCAAGCGUUGUCCGGAUUUACUGGGUGUAAAGGGCGUGUAGGCGGAGAUGCAAGUUGGGAGUGAAAUCCAUGGGCUCAACCCAUGAACUGCUCUCAAAACUGUAUCCCUUGAGUAUCGGAGAGGCAAGCGGAAUUCCUAGUGUAGCGGUGAAAUGCGUAGAUAUUAGGAGGAACACCAGUGGCGAAGGCGGCUUGCUGGACGACAACUGACGCUGAGGCGCGAAAGCGUGGGGAGCAAACAGGAUUAGAUACCCCUGUAGUCC
rnacentral:rRNA from 1 species